rnacentral:rRNA from 1 species
CCUACGGGUGGCAGCAGUGAGGAAUAUUGGUCAAUGGACGAGAGUCUGAACCAGCCAAGUAGCGUGAAGGAUGACUGCCCUAUGGGUUGUAAACUUCUUUUAUAUGGGAAUAAAAUGUUCCACGUGUGGGAUUUUGUAUGUACCAUAUGACUAAGGAUCGGCUAACUCCGUGCCAGCAGCCGCGGUAAUACGGAGGAUCCGAGCGUUAUCCGGAUUUAUUGGGUUUAAAGGGAGCGUAGGUGGAUUGUUAAGUCAGUUGUGAAAGUUUGCGGCUCAACCGUAAAAUUGCAGUUGAAACUGGCAGUCUUGAGUACAGUAGAGGUGGGCGGAAUUCGUGGUGUAGCGGUGAAAUGCUUAGAUAUCACGAAGAACUCCGAUUGCGAAGGCAGUUCACUGGACUGCAACUGACACUGAGGCUCGAAAGUGUGGGUAUCAAACAGGAUUAGAUACCCUAGUAGUC